UAGACUAACGAAAUUUUUAAAAUUAUACAUAGAAUCAUUAUAAUAUUAAAUCUACACAAAAAAAAUAAAAUUAUAUAUUUACAUUAUUUAAUUAGUUAAAAAAUACAAAUUUAACAUGUUUUUGAAUGAGUUUCUACUCAAAUGGAAAUUAAAAUCUAUAUUAUUUGACACAUUAUUAAUCUCCCUAACACUGCGAGUCAUAGGUUCAUUAAACGCAUAAUUUACUCUAUGAACGUUUUCGCGGAAUAAGGACAAUCAAUAUGAUAUGAUAAAAUAUCACUGACAAAAUUUAUAGCAAACAUCUUACGGCGGUUUUCUAAUGUCUGUAUACCAAUAAGCUGGCAUCUAACGUUAUACGAGGGCAUUUCAAUGUUCCAGCCUAGUUUGUGUACUACAAAUCUUGUAAAUUUUUUUUGGACAUUUUCUAUUCUUGUAAUAUGAACAUUGUAAUGAGGAUUCCACACUACGCAGCAAUAUUCCAGGACCGAUCUAACAUACGCAACAUAAAGGGCUUUUAGAGUGUAUGGGUCCCUAAGACCAAACGAAUUACGAAAAAUAAAACCCAACAUAGAGUUAGCUUUGUUCACCAUGAAUUCUGUGUGAUGUACAAAGUUUAGCUUGUAAUCAAAAAUUACUCCAAGGUCUUUUUUAAUAGAAACUCUUUCAAGGACAUGAUUAUGCAUAUUGUAAUCGUAAACGAUAGGUAACAAACGACGAGUAAACGAAAAACAUUGACAUUUGGAUAUGUUUAGGGCUAAUUGGUUUAUAUUGCACCAGUUGAUAAGAUUUUUAACAUCAUUUUGGAGAAGCGUACAGUCUGUUAAAUUUUUUACACGUCUAAAAAAUUUUAAAUCGUCCGCAAACAUAAGACACGUUGAGUUAGUAAGGACAUCAGGAAGGUCAUUUAUAAAAAUAAGGAACAGCAUUGGACCUAAAUGACUCCCUUGUGGAACGCCGGAAGUUACAGAAAAGGGAUGAGAGAUAAUCGAAUCAAUUGAAACCAUCUGGCUGCGUCCUGUAAGAUAAGCUGUCAGCCAUUGAAGCAUGUUGGAAUGAAAACCUAUGUUCUCUAAUUUUUGCAAUAAAAUUUUAUGAUGCACCCUAUCAAACGCCUUUGCAAAAUCGGUGUAGAUAACGUCCACUUGGUAACCCUUUUCUAAUGAAUUGAGAAUACAAUUCGUGAAAAUGGUUAGGUUAGUGGAAGUUGAUCUACCGGAUACAAAGCCGUGUUGGUACGGGGAUAUGGUUUCUUUCAAUAUAAAAUUCAAUUUAUCGCAAACAAUUUUCUCAAAUAAUUUAGGAAUUGAGGACAAUUUACUUAUGGGUCUGUAGUUUGUGAUUUCCUGUUUUGGACCACAUUUGUGAAUAGGAGUAACGAAGGACGUUUUCCAUUCUGGCAAAAAUACACCAUACUUUAACGAACUAUUAAAGACAAAACACAAAACUCUAGAUAGAGCGACGGAACAUUUUUUUAAAACAAUAGGUGGAAUUUCAUCCGGACCAGAAUUAAUGUCUUCAGUUAGACCACAUAGAGCUAAUUCCACAUCCGAUAUGGUAACACUUAAAUUACCUAUGUUUAGACUAUUUAGGGACUGGCAGAAAGAGGUGUUUGUGACAUUACUAGAAUCGAUAUAAUUUGACUUAAAAAACUUAGCAAAGGCAUCGCAAAUUGAUGGUAGACUUGUUAAAGUCGAACCUAAAUAUUGCAUACUUUUAGGGAAUCCAUUUUAUUUUUUUAAAUUUUUAAUGAAACUCCAAAAACAUUUACUAUUGACUCUUAACUUGGAUUCCAUAGAGUAAACAUAGUUUUUAUAUAAAAAUUUAUUUAGAACAUUGAAAUUCUUUUCUAAUUCAUCAUAAAUACUGCGCAAAUUGGCAUCAGAAGAACACUUUCGUAAACAUUUGUAUGCUUUAUUCUUUUUAUUAUUUAAAUUAAUUAAUCGACCGUUAUACCAAGGAGGCUUAGAAGCAUUUUUCAAUUUAGUUUUAGGAACGAAUAGAUCGAUAGCCGUCUUAAGAGAACUAAGAAAAUUGUUGUAAAAAUUUGAUAAUUCACAAGAUUGAAUAAAAGUUGAAGGCAGUGCUAGAUUAUUAUUUAUAUAACUCGCAAUGUUACUGAAAUUAGCUUUGGAAAAAUUAUAUCUAUAUUGAAAUGGCAUUUUUGGUUUGAAAAAAUUUAGUAUUUUAAAUUCAAAAAUCAAAGCAAUGUGAUGUAAAGUGUUUGGAAAUAUUGGAAAAAUAGAAUUAUUUAUUAUUUCUUUAUCUGCAAACAAUAAAUCGAGUGUUCUAUUUAAACUAUUUUUACAAUUGUUCAUUUGAAUCAAAUUAACAGUUAAAAGCGAAUCAAUAAAUAAAGAAUCACACUCAUUAUUUACAUUAAAAGGAACUAGAAAACCUUCAUCAGAGUCAAAUACCCAAUUUAAAUUCGGCAAGUUAAAAUCACCUACUAAAAUGACAUGCUGAUUAUUAUUAAGCUUAGAAAUAUAAUAAAUACAGUUAUUUAUAUGUUCUUUAUACAAAUCUAUAUGGCUCUUUGGCGGAAUAUAACUUACUAUUAGAAAAAUAUCUUUUUUACAAUUUAAUGAUACCUUGAUAAUAAUUUGAUCAAUGUCAAAAAAUGAAUUAUUUGAUGUUGGCAAUGCUAAUUCGGUACAGGCAUAUAAAGAGCGCACAGCAAGCAGCACCCCUCCUCCUCUUUCUAGUCCAGUGGAUACAGAACAUCUGUCUUUACGAAACACAGAGUAUUGAUGACUAUUAAACAUCUCUGCAUUGUUGUGAUUCUUGGUUAGCCAUGUCUCGGUAAAAGCAAAGAAAUCAAAUUGCUCAGAUGAUGACGAUAGCAGCAAUUGUUGCAUUUUUGUGCGCAUUCCACCAAUGUUUUGAUAAUAACCAAGGAAAUUAUAUGAAUCAGAAUGAGAAGGCAAAUGAGAAGCAGAAGCAUUAGUUAAGAGUAAUGCAUUGUUGCAUUGGGAAGUUUCUGUUGAUGACGAUGACGAUGGUGACGGUGGUGGUGAUGGCUGAGACGGUGGUGAUGGCGGUGGCGGCGGCGACGAUAAUAGCGGUGGUGUUGAAGGUGUGUAUGAAGUAGCAGAAAGAGUCGAUCUUAAGAAUGGUGUGAUGGGAGAUAGCGAUGAUGACGAAGAUAAUGAAGGUGAUGAAGGUGAUAAUGAUGCCGACGAUGGUGAAGUUGGUGUUUGGCAAAUUAUGGCUGAUGUAAGAGACUCGGAGGCUCGGGUUCUAUGGUUUGCGUUUUCUCUUUCCUGUCCAGAGUUAAAAAAUAUUUAACUUGAACAUGAAUGGGCCAGAGCGAAGAGUCCAUGACUGUUGAUAAAUGUUCAUGUGACACACUCAAUUUAAAUGUAACGAAUUUAAGUUCAGAAACAUUUGCAUCCUUUUUUACUAACAUAAAACAUUUAAAUGAAUCUGUAGGAAUGUUUGUUUUUGAAGAUAUGAAUUUAACAAUGUCAUCGGGAGUAGUUGUGUUAGCAAAACGAGAUAGAUGAAUCCAUUUUAUUUUUGGUAUAGCACUUAAAUCUGUUGACGUAUCGGUGCCAAUAAUUUUCAUUUCUCUUUUCUUUUUUGGGGGUUUUUUUUUUACUCACAACAACAAACUCGGCGGUUUUAGAAUCAUUUUUAUUUGAAGGUCCGGGAUUAUUAUUAUUUAAUGAAGGGUCAUUGAUUGAGAUAAAUUCCAUUUCUGAAUUUUCAGUUAAAUUGUUAUUGACACCAGGCAUAUCACUAUUUUCGCGAUUUAAAUCAUUGCUAUUGUCGAUUUGACUUGGUGAAGAGUCAGACAUGAUUUUUUUCGCUAAUUUGCGAGGUGGGGAAUUCAACUGAGACACUUUGAAGGAAGAGAACUCUCUUUUGAGAUCAUUUAAACUCUCGGAAAGGUCAUUAAAACUGUUAAUAAACUGGGAAAGAUUAAUACUUUGACAAGAAUUACAUUUCCAGAAUAAUCUUUUUUCGGCAAUUAUACCAAAAUCGUUGUCACUUAUAUCGACACAAUUUUUAUGAAAAAAAAAACGACCGCAGAAAUAUUCGCAUUGUACGUAUUUAACUUCUUUGGAUCGUUUUAUACUUUGGUCGCACUUAGCGCAAACUUUAGACAUGGUGAAGAUUUAAUCAACCGACCGUGAGAGAAGUUAGUCGAAGACUUUGCCGUUGUUUUUUAAUAUUUUUUUUUAUUUUGAUAAUUUUUUUUAGAAAAAUGCCCCUCCCACCUAAACGAGGGGAGAUAGACCCCCCUCUUAAAGAAAAAAAAUGUUUGUAUUGAGCUCAACUUAUCCUACUACGUGCCGAAACAACAUUUUUGUUCUAUACCUAAAAGUUCGAAUUUCUGUAUCUGGGUUGAAAUCGCCAAUGGCUUUUCUAAGCCAAUUUUGAAGUGAUUUUCAUAAAAAAUACCUCGAUCAAUUGGGAAAUAGAUAUAGUUUUAGAAUAUAUUUUUUAAAUAGCAUGUUGUUUUGAAAACAUAUACUUUAAAUUGAUGCCGAAGUUGGGCAAAUGACAAAAAAAAUUGAACUUUUGAACUUUGACAUCUUAUUAAUUCUAAGUGGUUUAACCGAGUUACAUGUUUUAUACAUUGUUAAAAAGGUAUAUUUAUCUUAUAUCAGAAACUGUAAAAAAAUCGAAAAUGGGUAAAAAUUUCUCGAAGCUAGAAUUUUUUCAAUGGGUGAAGGUCCAAAAAACCGUUUUUUGCCCGUAACUUCAGAUUUUGGGGGUGUUAGGGGAUUUUCAAAUAGUGUUUCGUAUUCAGUGCGACUAGCUCUACAAAACCUGAUAGGUCUCCGCCCACGUAUAUUUUAAAACCUCAUUUUUGUAACACCGUGUUAUUAAAAAGAAUUCUCUGAAUACCCUAGAAUCUUAAAACUUGGUAGAAUUGUAAAGAAACAUAUUCAAACUUAAGAUUUUCUACCUUGGAGACGUGGUAUCCACUUAAAAAUAAUAAAAAAAAGAUAUAAUGUUUCAUAAAUUAGUUAACAAGUCUUAGAAAAAUGUAGUUUCUUAAUUUCCCAAAAACCACAAAACAUUUUUGCAUCCGGUUUUUUGAUUUUGCUUACAAACAAAUAAGUGCAUUGAAUUUUGAAAACUUAAAUAGUUCUUAAACAUAUAAAACUUUAAAAAAAAUUAGUUCGCAAAUUAAAUUUUUUUUUGUUUUCAAAAUUUUGAAAAUUAUAUUAACCCCCUUCAAUACCAUUUUUUUCUUGUCCCGACCUAACCUACAAGCCUUAGCUUGUAUAAGAAAUGAGAUAAUAAUAAAUUAAGCAAAGCAUGUGUAGUUUUUAGGCAAAAAUCAACUUUUUCAAAAAUGAAACCACAAUCCGGAGCAACUUAGGCUUAAAAUAAUGAAAUGAAAUUUUACUUAUAAGCUAACCCAACCAUUUAGCCUUUUUAAUCGCUUAGCUUUUUUGAAAAUCCGAAAAUUUGUAUUUUGACCCACCCUAACAUCUAUGUGGACCUUAUUUGGUAAUAAAGGUAUCAAUGUUCCACUUUUAACAAGUUUGUCAUCUCUACAAUUUCUUGAAAUGUUCAUGAGAAGAUGACAGUUAAAGGCAGUUAUUGAGUUGGUAGAGACAGAAUUAACAGCUGUCCGUAAAGAUACGGAUAUCUGUAUUUGAUACCACGUUUUCAGCACAGGACUUAUUUUAUCGCCAAAAUUUCCAGGCUUAUUCAAUAUUUCAUAACAAAAAUAAAAUUGAAAAAAAAAACUAAGAUUUGAAAUAACGGCACUUAAAAGACGCUUUUUUAAGGUUGAUCUUUUUUUAAUUUUUUUUUUCGAAUGCCUAUAACGCACAGAAUAAAUGGCUACGAUUUUGUUUUAUUAUUUUUCUGAUAACUGUGACCAGACCGCCCUGUCAACCGUUUUCGAACAAUGCUAACAAAGCAAGUCAUACGAAUACGAUCGAACGUAAACAUUUUGAUGAGUGUUUUAAUCGGGGAAGAGUGAUAGACAUCUAUCCCUGAAAUGUUGAUGUUCGUUUCUUUCAGGGUAACUGUAAGUAGUUGUAGUAUCCUGUGGGGUGAUAGUUAGUGCGAUGAACUGUCACGCAAUCCCACCCUGCAUCACCUAAAAUUAAAAAAAAAAAUGCACGACUGGCACGAAUUUUCUCUUAGAUUUCAAGUUUCUUACAUUUUAAGGCUUUUUAUAUAGAAAUCUGGAAAAUGUAGGUACUAUAUACAGUGGCGACAAAAUAAAUAGCACAUGUACCCUAAAAUUUCUAAAAUGAAAGUUUUUCGCACUUUUUCAACUUAAAAGAGCUGUUUUAUUAAUGAGGAAGUAAGAACACAAAUAUAUUUGAUUUAUUAAAAAAGAAAUUAAGUACAUUGAAUUCUUUAACAAAAAAUAACAAAAUCAUUAAUACAGCUCAAGUUUUUUAGGACAAAAUAAAUAGCACACUUCCUAAAAACAAAAACAAAUUAACAAACAUUUUAACACAGUUAAAAGAAAAUAACUAGUAUUUGGUUGGGUAACCCUUAUUAUUUAUCACAGCAUAAAACCAGCGGUUAAUAGACGUAACAAGACUCCGAAAUCGUUCAAAAGGUACUGAGUACCAAGCUCGUCGAAAUUCCUGCCAAAGUUUGUCCAAAUUUGAGGUAUCAGAGCUGUUAAUCGCUUUUCCCACGUCACUCUACAAGUCCUCAAUAGGAUUCAGAUCUGGGGACUGGCUUGGCAAUUCCAUAACACCAAUUUUUUGAACGGAUAGCAAUUGUUUCACAGACUUAGUCUUAUGUUUUGGAUCGUUAUCCUGUAGAAAUGUCUACUUUAAUGGCAUUUCCUUCUCAGUAAAAGGUAGAAUAGUCUCCCUUAGGAUUUCCUUGUACUUAAGGUGGUCCAUAAUACCCUCUAUUCGAUGAAAUGGCCCCACACCAUGCCAAGAAAAACAUCCCCAAACAAGAAUACUAGCCCCAUCAUCCUUAACAGCCUAUAUUUUAUACUGCGGGUCACAUUUCAACUGCCCCACGCGGGGAAUUUCCGUAUGGGGCAUUUGGAAAUGCCCCCUAUGGGGCAUAAGAGGCAUUUCCGAUUGGAGGCGAGUUUCUUUUCGUGGUUUGUAAAGUGGUAGUUUUUGCGAAGAUUUGUUCUUCUCAAAUGUUUACCACUUCUGACAACCCGUUUUGCCGUCGUUAAACUGCAUUUCAUACCGGUUUUCAGCUUAAUUUUUAGCGCGAAGUCAUGCUGUUCAGAUCAUUGCACAUCUAUCGGCCAAUGUUGUGGCUAAGCAACUUCGAUUGUAAAUGUUGUUUCUAUACCCUUGGAUAUUGCGCGAAUAACUGCAUACUAAAUUUUAACUUGUGUUAAUUUUUGUCCCAAUGCAUCGUUGAUUUCGGCCUAAUUCAAAGACUUCUUUUAUUCUCGCCAUUUUUCCCGCGCCUAAUGAUUUUUUUCGAGCCGUUUUCGUCCUUAUAGGUUAUAGACAAUCAGAUUUAUUGACAGACACAAUUUUGAGUCCAACUGACCCAUGCAACUCAUCAUUUAUUAACAUUUUUGCUUUUGAGUCUAUUCAGAUGAGUCAAAAAAUAUACUUGUUUUUAUGAAUAGAUUUUGUCUAGCUACCGUGUGAAAAUUUUUUUUCUCCUAAGCUAAGCGCAUAAAGAUGUUCUCUCGUUACGUAUGUAAAAAGAUGUACCAUUGCAAUAAAUACCAAGCCAGGCUAAAAAUAAGAUGAACUAAAAUGUGGACGUAUUCAGAUGACCGGCAGUGUAUGUACAAAGUUUCAGCUUGAUACGAUAAUCGGGAAUCGGUCAAAAUUGACUUUUAAAAUUUUAUUACAUUGCUAGUUAGUUUGUUCGUUACAAGUGAAGCUAAUAAAAGCUUAUAAAAAAAAAAACAAAUAUUGAUUGAAAACGUUUUAAAGGGCAUGUAAUGGACUUUAUGCAAAAAAAAUUUCUUGACAUCACUCGUAUCAAAUCGUAAAUACCCUCAUUUUGGGUAUAUACCAAAUGUUUGGGUAUUUAUCCGGUAAAUACCCACCCGAUUGGUAUGUAUCCGAGGCAUAUAACUAGCUGUAAGGGCCUUAAUGCCUAUUAAAAAGUUCAAUUGAAAAGUUAAAAAGCUCAGCCCGAGAAGGAGAUACAGACAGUUAACAAAAAAAAAAAACUCAAAAA